CUGGAUUUGAGAACUAUCUUGAAAUAGAAACCAUAUAGACAUUAAGGAUCUUAAUUUAAAAAAGCAAGGAAGAAGACUGAUCGCUCAGCUUCUCAGUGCCUUAAGGCAUCGUUUAAAACACCUUAAAUGCAUCUCUGUGCAUCCAAAGCACUGAAGCACAAAGGACUUUCCAAGCUAUUACACUAAACAGUCACUUUUCCCUCUGCUCUGGGAACAUGAAACAACACAGACUUGAGUGGAGCUGAGCUCAGGAUCUCUCAGGGGAGGCCAGUGCCGUGCUGAGGAGAGAUUUGACACCUGUACCACGGUGGCUUAGCAUCAUGCAGCCGGAUGAACACUUGGUGUAGGCGUUUGUUAACCAAUGCAGCUCAUAGGUGGAUGUGACACCAGUGUCUGUAGUCCAAGUACCCAGAGGCUGAGGCAGGUGCUCCAUGGCUAAAUACUGAGUUCCAGGACAGCCUGAGAUAAGAAGCAAAAGCCUGAUUUAAACAAACAAAAUCUCCAUCAAGGCUUCCAGUGGUUUCCAGUGAGAAGACAACGCGGGAUCCUUCCAGGAAAACAGGACGUCAGUUCUCCAGUCUAACAUCCAGCAAGUUGAAACUUGUAUUAAACUAGAUUUCUCUUGCUGACACUACCA
rnacentral:lncRNA from 1 species